UUUAGGAUUAUGUAGUGCUUGUGCGGGUACCUCAUAAAAGAUUCCAGAUAAAUUUAUCAAAGAAAGAAAAGAAAAGAAUACAAUCCAUGUAUGCAUUUUCAUAUGGACAUGAGGUACCACAGUAAAUAAUCAUGACCAACAUACGCUUUUCCCAAAUUAAACAUGGUAAUCUCCUUCAGGACUUGAGCGUAUUUUUUUUAUCCUGACCAUGGUUGCCAUUCUGUACUUUAGCGAAUAUGUCAUGUUAAGUAGAAACUCAAUGAAGAGGAAAAUCAACACUGCAUGAACUAUGAAAACCUCUAUUGAUAUGUUCUAAAAUUUUCUUGAUGAAUGAUGCAGCACAAUCCUAAAGCCUUGGUUAAUGCUCUCAUCCUGUGGACCUGGACUAGUGGACUACCCAAGUUGGAACUACUUGGAAAAUUAAGCUUUAGACCAAGAAUAACAGUGCAGCCAGCAAUAGGACUCUGAUUUGAAAUUAGAUUUUGAAUAUUAAGAGAGCUAAAACUGAGCGGUUAAAAAUGAUAAAGGAAAUUUGAUGUAACAGAUCAAAAAUAAGAAAAUUUAUUUGAAAUUAAUGAGUGCAUAAAAUUUGAGAAAGAUGAGAAAUCGAUCAGCUAUAACUUGUCAAGGGUGCAAAAAAGAGGAUAAAUCUAUGAUGAAUAGUUUACUGAGGCUUGCCAAUCAUACCCUAGAAGAUAAAAUAUUCCCUUUGAUGAUCAAUUUACCAGUGGGUAAUGGACCCACUUAGGGAAAAAGUUGGAAGAAUAAGAGGAAAAUGUGGUUGAUGUUAAUGGACCGAUCUGAUUAUUUAUUGUUAUCAGAUUCAGUCUCUGCUCAGUGGCCAGAUUUGAAGAUAUUUAAAGGGAUGGAUUUAAAACUACAAUAGAAAAAUUCUAGAUUUAAUAAACUAGCCUAAUUAUGGAAAUCAAUAAGCAAAUAAUAGUGAGAAAAUAAGCUAUCGGUAGCUAAUAGAGAAGAGGGAAGAUAUGGGGUAUUGAUAGCCUCCUAAUGGAGAAAAAUUAGUGAAUCAGUCCGUAAAAGUAGGAUCUGAGAUUGAUAUGAAUAAUAUGAAGAUGAGGGAAUAAAAUAGAAAUCCCGAUGACCUAAAUGGGGUGAAGAGGUAGCUAUUGGUGAGGGAUAAACAGUCUUGCCAUGACGGUUAAAAGAGAAACUAGAUGGGAAAGAUUUAGGAGAAAAAGAUGGGAGAGAAAGUUAGGAGAGAAGAGAUAGCGAAGGGGAGAGACAAACCAGUAGCCAAUUAAAUGAAUUUUUCAUGGAUUGACUCAGCCAUAUCAUAUGUGGAGGGGUAUAUGGCUUUUGAGGAAGGGGUGGGACAAGAAAACCAAUUACUUCUAGAUCUUGGGCUUUUCUGGACUAAUAUUUCAGACAUUACGACACUAGUGACGGCUAGAUAAAGUUCUAAGAAAACGUAGAUUGAUAAAUAAAAUAUUCUAUAACUAGCUAAUUAAACUAACAGUUGGACUCAUAUAUGGGACCGGCUUUUGAAAUCGAAUGAGGGACAAGUAGCACCCACAUGACCAAACAUUAACACAGUUAGAGCUGUAAAAUUAAAAUAUGAGGAAAUUACACUCCCCUCCCUUGUAGUUUGCCUUAGUACCAUUUCCCCCCCCCACGUACUUUGAAAAAUACCACUCCCCUCCCCUGUACUUUAAAGAUUCUAUCAAUCAUACCCCUUCCAUUAGAUAACCCAGUCAAGUAAUGACAUCAGCCUUGAUGUAUUAGAUUUAAUACCGAAAUUAUCCUUUAUUGUUGUUAUUUUAAGCGGAGUGAUUGUAGAGGCCCAAAAAACCCCGAGUCACUUGCCUCUUCUUCCUCUCAUGUUUUAAACCCUUACCCUUUGUCAGAUUCUCAACUCAUUGGCCCCUUUCUCUUCUCUGUCUCCGAUUCUGAUUGUAGAGGCCCAAAGUUGAAGACGAAUCAACUUCAGCUUUGAAGCAAUCCUAGUCGAGGAGGAAUCGACUCCGACCGCCUUACAAUGAGCCCCUUCAUCUUCUCCACUUUGUCGAUAAUAGGAUGUCCAAAACCUAGUGAAGGUUGUCAGCUUGACGUGCAAUCUGACUGGCAUCGUGAAGGUUUGGUGAUGCCACCCGAGGAAAUGCCCUAAGGAAAUGCUUCUUUCUAGAUCUUAAUCUUACUCUUACUCUGUUGAAAUUGCCUCAUCAAAACUUCCAUGUUGGACAAUGACGAUGAAUUCACUUACCCCAUAAAUGGCUGCCAGAGCUCGCGACUUACCCAAUCUAGGAACUAGCUUUGACUAGCCCAAGUGCCAGAACGAUUUCAUAUCCAUUGACUCUGUUGAUGGAUGGCUCUAUCCUCCCACUUGGUUGCCUAACUCUGACGAUUGUGUUUACUUUCCCAAUCAAAUUCCCAUGCCGGAGACUAUAACAGGUGGCUUUGAAGCUUUACGUUGGAACUACUAGUUGUUGAAAAGUCGAAAUUUGGAACCUUGGUUGUAAUCUAAUAAUUCAUUUCAAUGUCAAGCAUAUCAAUAUUGAUUCAGUGUUUGGGGUUUUUGUACUGCAACACUUCAAAAUCUUUUCCUCUUAAUUAUUAGUGCAAAUUCAAGAGGAGAGAGAGAGACAAAGAGGAGAGAAAAACAAGAAAAAGGAGGUUGGUUGGUUUUCCAAUACUUGUACCGAAGGAGUUGGUUUUCAAGAGGUUGGUUAGUUUCCCUACUCUACCAACGCCUGUACCGAGUUAAUGAUCUUAAAUAUUUUCGGAGUCCAGAAACUUUCUAAUAACGUUGGUUGGUUUUCUUGUUGCGGCAGUUUUAUUAGAGAGAACCUGGGGAGUUCAUUUUGGUUUCUAGGUUUCCAUCAUUGGUACUGACAAAGGAGGAGGUUUCUUAUCGUUGACGAGAGAGAAAGAGAUGGAAUGCCAGAAUUUCUCGUUACCAUUCCGUCUACCUUCUCUUUUGCUUCGGUAGAGCAAAUCCUUCAAGAAGAUCCAUCUAUUGGAGCUCCUCCCCUCAGAAGAAGACCUAGAAGAUGAUGUAGAUACGGCGUUUCAUUCUGUUUACAGUCAAGAACUUCCAAAUCGAGAUCACGCCCACUGGUUUCUCGUUCUUCUUCAUCCUCGUGCCACUAAAAAUGGUGGGUUUCUCAGGGGAGAGAGGGAUCUUGUCCUCCUAGGCUGAGACUUAAACGAACUAGGAAUAGAGGGAUCAUAUUGUCUUUUUACAUGUCAUUUUAACACCGUCAGUGACUAAUGGGACGGUUGAUAGAAUCUUUAAAGUACAGAGGAGGGGAUUGGUAUUUUCCAAAGUAUGUGGGGAGAAUGUGGCAUUAAGGCAAAGUAUAGGGGAGGGGAGUGUAAUUUCCUCUUAAAAUAUUAAUACCUUUGGUUAUCAAAAUCAAACCUGACAUUAUUUGGAGCAAAUCUUAAGCAUCUACUCGGAUCUUGGGAUGCUUCAGCAUUGCCCUUUCUACUUAAAACUCAAGUUAUCCUUAUCCUCACUAAAUGGUGUUGUGUAUCACUUGUCAGUUGUCACUACACCUACACGUGGGUUAUAAUACAUUAAUACCGCGUGUUGCUUCUGAGAACACCAUAACAUAAGGUUAUAAAUCAAAAGUCUAGGGUCCAUGCUAAAAGGUUUGGCCAAGGUUUUCACAAUGCCAGCUGCUGACAGGAUGCAUCAACCCUCCAUCCGGGUUGGGACCUGCAGCACAAAUACACUGGAGGUGAGAAUUGAUCUCUUUCACUUGCUUAAAUUCUCAGUCGUCAUCAUUGUUAAAAAUCUUGCUAAAAGAACAUACAGGUAAGCCCUCAUCUGUUUCUUUGAGAUCAUCUAAUUGGAGAAAAAGUUGAAAAAACAUAUUUAAAAUUUUGGCAUUUUCAGAAGAAAUAAACUUUAAAAGAUAACUUGAUCUUAUCAUUCUUUAAGAAGAUGACUAACGUACACACAUAACUUGAUCUUACCAUUCUUUAAGAAGAUGACUUGUUGACCUCCUUGCCCCUCCCCUUGUUGACCUCUAGUCUUCCCUUCCCCCUACCCCUCCUGGCCAUCAUGAAAGGGAAGACAAGGUUAUCUGGCUUCCCUCUCCCCAGAGAUCGUUCUCCUCUGCCUCCGCUUGGGAUUUCAUCCAUUCUAAAGGGCCCCUCAUGCCUUGGCACAAGACUAUCUAGUUUUAAUGUCAUAUUCCGCGUCACAGCAUCACAACUUGGCGAGCUCUGUUCAAUUGUCUCCCCACCCAGUCUUUUCUUAUCUACUGGCAUAUACAUGUUCCUCUCUCUUGAUGUCUAUUCUGGAAUGGCACUGAAAAUGUUGACCAUUUCUUCUUCUCUUGAUCCUUAGCCUCCUCUGUUUGGAAGAAGGUCCUCAGUUAUUGCUGGCCAUCCUGCAGAAGAAUCCUUCCUUGUCCAAAGAAUGGAUCUGUAUUGACAUGACUUUUGGUGGGCCUACCAUCUAUGAUUCUAUUGGGAAGCUCACUUUUGGGGCCACAAUCAACCAUAUUUGGAUAGAGCAUAAUCUGUGUAGAUGGAGUUCCAACUCCCAGUCAUUUGACAAGAUUUGGAAAGCCAUCUACUUCGAUGUCAACUCCAAGCUUGGUUGCCUGUCACCGUCUGGUUUUAGACUCCCCAAGAAACAAGCUUAUUGUUGUCUUCUGGGGCCUCCCUUCUUCCAUCAUCUCCCCCCCCCCAAACAACACACACACACACACACACACUUGAUGUUUCCCUUCUUUUGGUUGGGCUUUAGGCCCCGUGCUGUUGCUGUUGCCUCCUUGGAGGCCUUCUCCCUUGCGGCUUCCCCCCCCCCCUUCCCUUGUAUAUUCCUUCCUCUUUGCUAAUGAAUUUUAUUUAUUCAAAAAAAAAAAAAAAAAACCAUUCAUCAUUAACAAUACUGUUAGAGAACCAUCCUGUUUUCAAUACACAAAGCCAUACCAUACAACAUACAUACUGAUUUAAAUUCUGAAUUACAUGCAUAUUUUAGCCACUUUGGACCUAAUGCCUAGUCAAAUCCAAAACUGGAAAUAUUCAUUUUAAGACUCAAAACCUACCACUAGUAAAGACCCUUAGCUAUUUCUACUUCCAGAACUCGAAACUCCCAAUGUGACUUGAAAAGAGAACUUAAAAAGAAUAGCAAUUGCUCUUACUAUAAAUAUUAGAGGGAAAUUUACUGAGCUGUAUUUUAUACUGUGCUUGAUUGCUUCCCCACCAGGCUGUGGGAAGAGAACGCUAAGAUAAUUUUGUUCUUGGCGUGCUGGAUGCCCAUGUGUGAAAAGUGGGAAAGUUUUGAAUUUUGAGAAACCUAUUUUUUUGCUUUUGCAUUUCUUAAUACAUGGGGAAACUGAUGGAAGAGAUAAAUGACAGGAGAGGAUGAGAGGAGCAGGAAAUAAUGUACCAUGGGACUGUCACCAAUCUUUUCCUCUUUCUUUAGCUAGGAGCAGGAAAUAAUGUACUAUGGGACUGUCACCAAUCUUUUCCUUUUUCUUUAACUGGGAAACCAUAUAUUAAACGAAUUUUGAGAAAA